rnacentral:lncRNA from 1 species
UGGUUCUCAGCCAUCGCUUUGUGGAUCAAAAGGAAUUUGCCAAAACACCCCUGGUAGUUUUACCUGUGAAUGUCAAAGGGGAUUUUCUCUGGAUUCCACUGGAUUAAACUGCGAAGAUGUGGAUGAAUGUGACGGAAACCAUAGGUGCCAGCAUGGCUGUCAAAACAUCCUGGGUGGAUACAGAUGUGGGUGCCCACAAGGAUAUAUUCAGCAUUACCAGUGGAAUCAAUGUGUUGAUGAAAAUGAAUGCUCCAAUCCUAACACAUGCGGCUCUGCUUCUUGCUACAACACAC